GAAACAGUUGCUAAGACUGGAUAGGAAAUUAAAAGGCAUCUUUUAAUUUUUAAAAGACCUUUUUCGGAAGGUAUGCUUAAAGAGGGGCUUGCGCCACAUUAGUUAGUUGGUAAGGUAAAGGCUUACCAAGACGAUGAUGUGUAGCUGGACUGAGAGGUUGAACAGCCACAUUGGGACUGAGACACGGCCCAAACUCCUACGGGAGGCAGCAGUAAGGAAUUUUUGGCAAUGGAGGAAACUCUGACCGAGCGACGCCGCGUGAACAAUGAAGUACUUCGGUAUGUAAAGUUCUUUUAUUGAAAAAGAAAAAAUAGUGGAAAAACUAUCUUGACAUUAUUCAAUGAAUAAGCCCCGGCUAAUUAUGUGCCAGCAGCCGCGGUAAUACAUAAGGGGCGAGCGUUAUCCGGAAUUAUUGGGCGUAAAGGGUGCGUAGGCGGUUUGAUAAGUCUAUAGUUUAAUUGCAGUGCUUAACGCUGUACCGCUAUAGAAACUGUCUGACUAGAGUUAGAUAGAGGCAAGCGGAAUUCCAUGUGUAGCGGUAAAAUGCGUAAAUAUAUGGAGGAACACCAGACGCGUAGGCGGCUUGCUGGGUCUUAACUGACGCUGAGGCACGAAAGCGUGGGGAGCAAACAGGAUUAGAUACCCUGGUAGUCCACGCCGUAAACGAUGAGUACUAAGUGUCGGGUUUUGGCUCGGUACUGAAGUUAACACAUUAAGUACUCCGCCUGAGUAGUACGUACGCAAGUAUGAAACUUAAAGGAAUUGACGGGACCCCGCACAAGCGGUGGAUCAUGUUGUUUAAUUCGAAGAUACACGAAAAACCUUACCAGGUCUUGACAUAAUUUUGCGACAUUAUAGAAAUAUAAUGAAGGUUAUCAGAAUUACAGGUGGUGCAUGGUUGUCGUCAGCUCGUGUCGUGAGAUGUUAGGUUAAGUCCUAAAACGAGCGCAACCCUUGUCGUUAGUUGCGACCACAUAAUGGUGAGCACUUUAGCGAGACUGCCAAUGAAAAAUUGGAGGAAGGUGAGGAUUACGUCAAAUCAUCAUGCCCCUUAUGAUCUGGGCUACAAACGUGAUACAAUGGCUUUUACAAAGAGUAGCUACAACGUGAGUUUUUAGCCAAUCUCAAAAAAACAGUCUCAGUUCGGAUUGAAGUCUGCAACUCGACUUCAUGAAGUUGGAAUCGCUAGUAAUCGCGAAUCAGCAUGUCGCGGUGAAUACGUUCUCGGGGUUUGUACACACCGCCCGUCA
rnacentral:rRNA from 1 species